GCAGGCUUAACACAUGCAAGUCGAGCGGUAACAGAGAGUAGCUUGCUACUCUGCUGACGAGCGGCUCACGGGUGAGUAAUGCCUAGGAAUCUGCCUAGUAGUGGGGGAUAACUUGCCGAAAGGUAAGCUAAUACCGCAUACGUCCUACGGGAGAAAGCAGGGGACCUUCGGGCCUUGCGCUAUUAGAUGAGCCUAGGUCGGAUUAGUUAGUUGGUGAGGUAAUGGCUCACCAAGACCGCGAUCCGUAACUGGUCUGAGAGGAUGAUCAGUCACACUGGAACUGAGACACGGUCCAGACUCCUACGGGAGGCAGCAGUGGGGAAUAUUGGACAAUGGGGGCAACCCUGAUCCAGCCAUGCCGCGUGUGUGAAGAAGGUCUUAGGAUUGUAAAGCACUUUAAGUUGGGAGGAAGAGCAGUUAACUAAUACUUGACUGUUUUGACGUUACCGACAGAAUAAGCACCGGCUAACUUCGUGCCAGCAGCCGCGGUAAUACGAAGGGUGCAAGCGUUAAUCGGAAUUACUGGGCGUAAAGCGCGCGUAGGUGGUUCGUUAAGUUAGAAGUGAAAGCCCCAGGCUCAACCUGGGAAUUGCUUCUAAAACUGGCGGACUAGAGUAUGGUAGAGGGUGGUGGAAUUUCCUGCGUAGCGGUGAAAUGCUUAGAUAUUACACAGAACACCGAUUGCGAAGGCAGCUUACUGGGCCAUUACUGACGCUGAUGCACGAAAGCGUGGGGAUCGAAGGGGAUUAGAUACCUAGUAGUCCACGCCGUAAACGAUGAUCACUCGCUGUUAGCGAUACACAGUUAGCGGCUAAGCAAAAGCAUUAAGUGAUCCACCUGGGGAGUACGGCCGCAAGGCUGAAACUCAAAGGAAUUGACGGGGGCCCGCACAAGCGGAGGAACAUGUGGUUUAAUUCGAUGAUACGCGAGGAACCUUACCUGGGCUUAAAUGUAGAGUGCAUUCAGCUGAAAGGCUGAUUUCCUUCGGGACUUUCUGCAAGGUGCUGCAUGGUUGUCGUCAGCUCGUGCCGUGAGGUGUCGGGUUAAGUCCCAUAACGAGCGCAACCCUUAUCGUUAGUUGCCAGCGGGUAAUGCCGGGAACUCUAACGAAACUGCCGGUGUAAACCGAGAGGAAGGUGGGGAUGACGUCAAAUCAGCACGGCCCUUAUGUCCAGGGCUACACACGUGUUACAAUGGCCGGUACAGAGGGCAGCUAUGCCGCGAGGCAAUGCGAAUCUCGAAAGCCGGUCUCAGUUCGGAUCGGAGUCUGCAACUCGACUCCGUGAAGCUGGAUUCGCUAGUAAUCGCGCAUCAGCCAUGGCGCGGUGAAUACGUUCCCGGGCCUUGCACACACACACCCGUCA
rnacentral:rRNA from 1 species